rnacentral:misc_RNA from 1 species
AACGCACAUUGCGCCCUUUGGUAUUCCUUAGGGCAUGCCUGUUCGAGCGUCAUCUAAAACUUUCAAGCUCAGCUUGGUGAUGGGUGUCUGUCCCGCCUCAGGAUGCGGACUCGCCUCAAAUGCAGUUGGCAGCUUAUUCUUUGGCUCUAAACGCAGCAGAAUUGCGUCGAGCGCCUUGCGAUUAGGCUUCCCAGUAAGCAAAUCUUUCCAGAUUGACCUCGGAUCAGGUAGGGAUACCCGCUGAACUUAA